UGCCAGACUCCUACGGGAGGCAGCAGUGGGGAAUAUUGCACAAUGGGGGAAACCCUGAUGCAGCGACGCCGCGUGAGUGAAGAAGUAUUUCGGUAUGUAAAGCUCUAUCAGCAGGGAAGAUAAUGACGGUACCUGAGUAAGAAGCCCCGGCUAACUACGUGCCAGCAGCCGCGGUAAUACGUAGGGGGCAAGCGUUAUCCGGAUUUACUGGGUGUAAAGGGAGCGUAGACGGCAGCACAAGUCUGGAGUGAAAUCCCGGGGCUUAACCCCGGAACUGCUUUGGAAACUGUGCGGCUGGAGUGCAGGAGGGGUAAGCGGAAUUCCUAGUGUAGCGGUGAAACGCGUAGAUAUUAGGAGGAACACCAGUGGCGAAGGCGGCUUGCUGGACAGUAACUGACGUUGAGGCUCGAAAGCGUGGGGAGCAAACAGGAUUAGAUACCCCAGUA
rnacentral:rRNA from 1 species